rnacentral:rRNA from 1 species
AGAACGAACGCUGGCGGCGUGCCUGAGACAUGCAAGUCGUGGGAGAACGUCGUAGCAAUACGGCUAGUAAACCGGCGCACGGGUGAGUAACACGUGGGCAACCUGCCCCUAGCACUGGGAUAACUCCGGGAAACCGGGGCUAAUACCGGAUAUGACCUCGGAAGGCAUCUUCUGUGGUGUAAAGGAUUCUGGCUAGGGAUGGGCCCGCGGCCUAUCAGCUUGUUGGUGGGUAACGCCUACCAAGGCGACGACGGGUA